rnacentral:tmRNA from 1 species
ACUAGGUGAUCCACACCAGUGUUUCGGACAGCGGUUCGAUUCCGCUCAGCUCCAUUCUCCCUUUUGGGGCUGCAAUGGUUUCGACGGGGCAUGAGGAGGGUGACUGAAGCCUGCUCGGUGAGAGCAAACCCGUAACUGCGAACAACAUCGUUCGUUUCUCCCGUCAAGCAGCCCCUGUUGCUGCCUGACCCUUUAAGGGAGAUGGGGUGAAGUCAGCCUUAUCACCCAAAUGACUCAUGGGCCCUGGAAGGGGCCUU